GACGAACGCUGGCGGCGUGCUUAACACAUGCAAGUCGAACGGUGACGAGGAGCUUGCUCCUCCGAUCAGUAGCGAACGGGUGAGUAACACGUGAGUAACCUGCCCGGACUCUGGGAUAACAGUUGGAAACAGCUGCUAAUACCGGAUACGAGACGGAGAGGCAUCUCUACCGUCUGGAAAGUUCUUCGGUCCGGGAUGGACUCGCGGCCUAUCAGCUAGUUGGUGAGGUAACGGCUCACCAAGGCGACGACGGGUAGCCGGCCUGAGAGGGCGACCGGCCACACUGGGACUGAGACACGGCCCAGACUCCUACGGGAGGCAGCAGUGGGGAAUAUUGCACAAUGGGCGAAAGCCUGAUGCAGCGACGCCGCGUGAGGGAUGACGGCC
rnacentral:rRNA from 1 species